GUGGGGAAUAUUGCGCAAUGGGCGGAAGCCUGACGCAGCGACGCCGCGUGGGGGAUGACGGCCUUCGGGUUGUAAACCUCUUUCAGCAGGGACGAAGCCGUGAGGUGACGGUACCUGCAGAAGAAGCACCGGCCAACUACGUGCCAGCAGCCGCGGUAAUACGUAGGGUGCAAGCGUUGUCCGGAAUUAUUGGGCGUAAAGAGCUCGUAGGCGGUUUGUUGCGUCGGCUGUGAAAUCCCGAGGCUCAACCUCGGGUCUGCAGUCGAUACGAGCAAACUGGAGUGUUGCAGGGGAGACUGGAAUUCCUGGUGUAGCGGUGAAAUGCGCAGAUAUCAGGAGGAACACCGGUGGCGAAGACGGGUCUCUGGGCAACAACUGACGCUGAGGAGCGAAAGCGUGGGGAGCGAACAGGAUUAGAUACCCUGGUAGUCCACGCCGUAAACGUUGGGCGCUAGGUGUGGGGCUCAUUCCACGAGUUCCGUGCCGCAGCUAACGCAUUAAGCGCCCCGCCUGGGGAGUACGGCCGCAAGGC
rnacentral:rRNA from 1 species